rnacentral:sRNA from 1 species
GUGCCGCCGGCGCCAUGGGCAAUUGCCACACGGUGGGGCCCAACGAGGCGCUGGUGGUUUCAGGUGAGGGGCGGCGAGGAAGGUGGGCGCUGUGGAGGCUGGCUGGGUCCCUGGGGAGCCAGCCCCUGAUCCCUCUGCCCCUAGGGACCCUGACAGUGGAGCAGAUUUAUCAGGACCGGGACCAGUUUGCCAAGCUGGUGCGGGAGGUGGCAGCCCCUGAUGUUGGCCGCAUGGGCAUUGAGAUCCUCAGCUUCACCAUCAAGGACGUGUAUGACAAAGUGGACUAUCUGAGCUCCCUGGGCAAGACACAGACUGCCGUGGUGCAGAGAGAUGCUGACAUUGGCGUGGCCGAGGCUGAACGGGACGCAGGCAUCCGGGAAGCUGAGUGCAAGAAGGAGAUGCUGGAUGUGAAGUUCAUGGCAGACACCAAGAUUGCUGACUCUAAGCGAGCCUUCGAGCUGCAAAAGUCAGCCUUCAGUGAGGAGGUUAACAUCAAGACAGCUGAGGCCCAGUUGGCCUAUGAGCUGCAGGGGGCCCGUGAACAGCAGAAGAUCCGACAGGAAGAGAUUGAGAUUGAGGUUGUGCAGCGCAAGAAACAGAUUGCCGUGGAGGCACAGGAGAUCCUGCGUACGGACAAGGAGCUCAUUGCUACAGUGCGCCGGCCUGCCGAGGCCGAGGCCCACCGCAUCCAGCAGAUUGCCGAGGGUGAAAAGUGAGAGCCGCCCAGGUGUCGGGGUCAGGGCUUAAGUCAG